rnacentral:rRNA from 1 species
AUUGAACGCUGGCGGCAGGCCUAACACAUGCAAGUCGAACGAGUGGCGGACGGGUGAGUAAUGUCUGGGAAACUGCCCGAUGGAGGGGGAUAACUACUGGAAACGGUAGCUAAUACCGCAUACCAUCAGAUGUGCCCAGAUGGGAUUAGCUGGUGGGGGGGGUAACGGCUCACCAAGGCGACGAUCCCUAGCUGGUCUGAGAGGAUGACCAGCCACACUGGAACUGAGACACGGUCCAGACUCCUACGGGAGGCAGCAGUGGGGAAUAUUGCACAAUGGGCGCAAGCCUGAUGCAGCCAUGCCGCGUGUAUGAAGAAGGCCUUCGGGUUGUAAAGUACUUUCAGCGGGGAGGCGUUACCCGCAGAAGAAGCACCGGCUAACUCCGUGCCAGCCGCCGCGGUAAUAC